rnacentral:rRNA from 1 species
CCUACGGGAGGCAGCGGUGGGGAAUAUUGCGCAAUGGCCGAAAGGCUGACACAGCGACGCCGCGUGGGGGAUGAAGCAUUUCGGUGUGUAAACCCCUGUUGCUCGGGACGAACAACUGGAUUUGUCCAGUCUGACGGUACCGGGUGAGGAAGCACCGGCUAACUCCGUGCCAGCAGCCGCGGUAAUACGGAGGGUGCGAGCGUUGUCCGGAAUCACUGGGCGUAAAGGGCGCGUAGGCGGUCUGCUAAGCGUGUGGUGAAAGCUCGGGGCUCAACCCCGAGUCUGCCAUGCGAACUGGUGGACUAGAGCACUGUAGAGGCAGGUGGAAUUCCGGGUGUAGCGGUGGAAUGCGUAGAGAUCCGGAAGAACACCGGUGGCGAAGGCGGCCUGCUGGGCAGUAGCUGACGCUGAGGCGCGACAGCGUGGGGAGCAAACAGGAUUAGAUACCCUGGUAGUCCACGCCGUAAACGAUGGGGACUAGGUGCUUGGGGGAGCGACCCCUCGAGUGCGGCGCACGCAUACGUCCCCGCCGUCGGGAGGUACGGCCGCGACGGCGUGAACGUUAAACGGUAAGUUAGACGGCGUGAGACGUCGCCGACGGACGACGACGAGGGAGUUAGG